rnacentral:rRNA from 1 species
AUUGAACGCUGGCGGCAUGCCUUACACAUGCAAGUCGAACGGCAGCAUGGAGAGCUUGCUCUCUGAUGGCGAGUGGCGAACGGGUGAGUAAUGCAUCGGAACGUACCGUGUAAUGGGGGAUAACGUAGCGAAAGUUACGCUAAUACCGCAUACGACCUGAGGGUGAAAGCAGGGGAUCGCAAGACCUUGCGUUAUACGAGCGGCCGAUGUCAGAUUAGCUAGUUGGUGAGGUAAAGGCUCACCAAGGCGACGAUCUGUAGCGGGUCUGAGAGGAGGAUCCGCCACACUGGGACUGAGACACGGCCCAGACUCCUACGGGAGGCAGCAGUGGGGAAUUUUGGACAAUGGGGGCAACCCUGAUCCAGCCAUGCCGCGUAAGUGAAGAAGGCCUUCGGGUUGUAAAGCUCUUUCGGCCGGGAAGAAAUCGCACAGGCUAAUACUCUGUGUGGAUGACGGUACCGGCAUAAGAAGCACCGGCUAACUACGUGCCAGCAGCCGCCGUAA